rnacentral:rRNA from 1 species
AGCUACAGGCUUAACACAUGCAAGUCGAGGGGCAUCAGGAAGAAAGCUUGCUUUCUUUGCUGGCGACCGGCGCACGGGUGAGUAACACGUAUCCAACCUGCCCUUUACUCGGGGAUAGCCUUUCGAAAGAAAGAUUAAUACCCGAUAGCAUAAUGAUUCCGCAUGGUUUCAUUAUUAAAGGAUUCCGGUAAAGGAUGGGGAUGCGUUCCAUUAGGUUGUUGGUGAGGUAACGGCCCACCAAGCCUUCGAUGGAUAGGGGUUCUGAGAGGAAGGUCCCCCACAUUGGAACUGAGACACGGUCCAAACUCCUACGGGAGGCAGCAGUGAGGAAUAUUGGUCAAUGGGCGCUAGCCUGAACCAGCCAAGUAGCGUGAAGGAUGAAGGCUCUAUGGGUCGUAAACUUCUUUUAUAUAAGAAUAAAGUGCAGUAUGUAUACUGUUUUGUAUGUAUUAUAUGAAUAAGGAUCGGCUAACUCCGUGCCAGCAGCCGCGGUAAUACGGAGGAUCCGAGCGUUAUCCGGAUUUAUUGGGUUUAAAGGGAGCGUAGGUGGACUGGUAAGUCAGUUGUGAAAGUUUGCGGCUCAACCGUAAAAUUGCAGUUGAUACUGUCAGUCUUGAGUACAGUAGAGGUGGGCGGAAUUCGUGGUGUAGCGGUGAAAUGCUUAGAUAUCACGAAGAACUCCGAUUGCGAAGGCAGCUCACUGGACUGCAACUGACACUGAUGCUCGAAAGUGUGGGUAUCAAACAGGAUUAGAUACCCUGGUAGUCCACACAGUAAACGAUGAAUACUCGCUGUUUGCGAUAUACAGUAAGCGGCCAAGCGAAAGCAUUAAGUAUUCCACCUGGGGAGUACGCCGGCAACGGUGAAACUCAAAGGAAUUGACGGGGGCCCGCACAAGCGGAGGAACACGUGGUUUAAUUCGAUGAUACGCGAGGAACCUUACCCGGGCUUAAAUUGCAGUGGAAUGAUGUGGAAACAUGUCAGUGAGCAAUCACCGCUGUGAAGGUGCUGCAUGGUUGUCGUCAGCUCGUGCCGUGAGGUGUCGGCUUAAGUGCCAUAACGAGCGCAACCCUUAUCUUUAGUUACUAACAGGUUAUGCUGAGGACUCUAGAGAGACUGCCGUCGUAAGAUGUGAGGAAGGUGGGGAUGACGUCAAAUCAGCACGGCCCUUACGUCCGGGGCUACACACGUGUUACAAUGGGGGGUACAGAAGGCAGCUAGCGGGUGACCGUAUGCUAAUCCCAAAAUCCUCUCUCAGUUCGGAUCGAAGUCUGCAACCCGACUUCGUGAAGCUGGAUUCGCUAGUAAUCGCGCAUCAGCCACGGCGCGGUGAAUACGUUCCCGGGCCUUGUACACACCGCCCGUCAAGCCAUGGGAGCCGGGGGUACCUGAAGUACGUAACCGCAAGGAUCGUCCUAGGGUAAAACUGGUGACUGGGGCU